rnacentral:rRNA from 2 species
UACGAAGGGGGCUAGCGUUGCUCGGAAUCACUGGGCGUAAAGCGCACGUAGGCGGAUUGUUAAGUCAGGGGUGAAAUCCUGGAGCUCAACUCCAGAACUGCCUUUGAUACUGGCGAUCUCGAGUCCGGGAGAGGUGAGUGGAACUGCGAGUGUAGAGGUGAAAUUCGUAGAUAUUCGCAAGAACACCAGUGGCGAAGGCGGCUCACUGGCCCGGUACUGACGCUGAGGUGCGAAAGCGUGGGGAG